CACACACAAAUGUUGAGCUAGUACGGGUCACCACAUUGAUUGCAAAAACGACAGAAGGGCGGAUAAACAGGUACGUGUACGUUACAAUAAUUAAAAUGGCGCCCAAUCAUAAAACGAUAGGGAUGACAGCAGCGCCGCAGGUUGGAAUUGGCGCCCGCGAAUGAGCCAGAAGUAGUGUCUUGGGGAAGACCAGGACAAAGAGAAAUAGGAACCGGUGAGGAAAACAGGCAUAGCUCAUUUGUUAUAAAUGAAUUUCGAUC